UCGAGAAUCUUCGGCAAUGGGCGAAAGCCUGACCGAGCGACGCCGCGUGCGGGAUGAAGGCCUUCGGGUUGUAAACCGCGAAAGUAGGGAGGAAGGCUUCGUGAAGAACGAGGUUUGACCGAUCUACAGUAAGGACGGGCUAAGUACGUGCCAGCAGCCGCGGUAAUACGUACCGUCCAAACGUUAUUCGGAAUUACUGGGCUUAAAGGGUUUGUAGGCGGCGCUGUUAGUCGGGUGUGAAAUCCCAGGGCUCAACCCUGGAACUGCGCCCGAUACUGCAGUGCUUGAGGGAGACAGAGGUAAGCGGAACUGAUGGUGGAGCGGUGAAAUGCGUUGAUAUCAUCAGGAACACCGGUGGCGAAAGCGGCUUACUGGGUCUCUUCUGACGCUGAGAAACGAAAGCUAGGGGAGCGAAGGGGAUUAGAUACCCCCGUAGUCC
rnacentral:rRNA from 1 species